CCUACGGGUGGCAGCAGUGGGGAAUAUUGGUCAAUGGGCGUAAGCCUGAACCAGCCACGUCGCGUGAGGGAUGAAGGUUCUAUGUAUCGUAAACCUCUUUUAUAGGGGAAUAAAGUGCGGGACGUGUCCCGUUUUGUAUGUACCUUAUGAAUAAGGAUCGGCUAACUCCGUGCCAGCGGCCGCGGUAAUACGGAGGAUCCGAGCGUUAUCCGGAUUUAUUGGGUUUAAAGGGUGCGUAGGCGGCCUUGUAAGUCAGCGGUGAAAGUCUGUGGCUUAACCAUUGAAUUGCCGUGGAAACUGGGCGGCUUGAGUAUGGUGGAGGUAGGCGGAAUGCGUGGUGUAGCGGUGAAAUGCUGAGAUAUUACGCAGAACCCCGAUUGCGAAGGCAGCCUGCCAAGCCAUGACUGACGCUGAGGCACGAAAGCGUGGGGAUCAAACAGGAUUAGAUACCCGAGUAGUC
rnacentral:rRNA from 1 species